rnacentral:rRNA from 1 species
CCUACGGGUGGCUGCAGUGAGGAAUAUUGGUCAAUGGCCGGAAGGCUGAACCAGCCAUGCCGCGUGAAGGUCAGUGCCCUAUGGGCGUUAAACUUCUUUUGUGCGGGAGCAAUAAUGGUCACGUGUGGCCAGACGAGAGUACCGUACGAAUAAGCAUCGGCUAACUCCGUGCCAGCAGCCGCGGUAAUACGGGGGAUGCAAGCGUUAUCCGGUGUGAUUGGGUUUAAAGGGUGCGUAGGCUGUGAGGUAAUUCAGAGGUGAAAUUCCCCCGCUCAACGGGGUGAAGUGCAUGUGAUCCUGGGUUGCGGGAGUGCGGGUGACGUGGGAGGAAGGUGUGGGGUAGCGGUGAAAUGCAUAGAUAUCACACAGAACACCGAGUGCGAAGGCAUCUCACGAGUCCGCGAUUGACGCUGAUGCACGAAAGCGUGGGUAUCAAACAGGAUUAGAUACCCCUGUAGUC